rnacentral:lncRNA from 1 species
AGCAUUCCUGAGUAAUUAGGAUUCACUUCAUUGGCAGGCGAGUGCUGACCUCACCUUGCAAAGCUCUCUGAAGUGUCUGAGCAGAGGGUCCACUCCUCCCCGGCAUACCUUUGCAGCAAUAUCCUGGCAGAUACUUUAUGUCAUGUUGCCAUGAACUGCAUUGUUCUGCCCCAAGCCCCAGGCUACUGGAAAAAAUGGUUGAAGACCUGAAAACUGUGACCCCUGUUGCCUAGCAACUGAGAAGCUCAGCCUCAACUCCGGGUGGGGGAGAUGAUGGAGAAAGGACAAUUGCUCUGAGCUUUCAGUCACCAUGUGAGAAGUCUGGCUACCCUGAGGCCAGCACAUGCAGAGACCACAUGGAGAGAUGAGAGGCAGAGAGAGCCGCCCAAGGAACUCCAGCUGUUCCAGCACCCAGCUGUUUGAAUCCUCCCAGCCCAGGCACUAAACGUGAAUGAAAAGCUCUCAAGACAACCUCAGCCCUCGGACCCAGCCACAGACUGAUUGCCACUGUAUGAGAGACCUCAGAUGAAAACUGUCAAGUGGAGCCCGGCUAGCUAACAGAUUUAUAAGCAAAAUAAGUGAUUGUUAUUGUUUCAAGCCACCAUUUUGAAGUGGCUUUUCUGCAGCAAUAGAUGCCUGGAGGAGUCCUAAUAAUAAAAAUUAAUCAGAUGGAGGAUCUGCUUUUUUAUUUUCUCUUAGGACUAAGGAAAGGCUUGGUAUAAUCUUUGAACUGAGAUAAAGAAUAAGUUACUCUUAAAAUUUUCCAACAAAUGGAGUCCUUAUUGUCUGUAGUUAGUACCCAAAGCUUAGACACUUUCUCUCUACAUACCCUUCCAAGGAUAAGGCUGUAUUUUGUAAUGCCAGAUGACACAAUCUGAUAAACAAGCAGACACCCAUUAAAAUGAAUGAAUGUCAAAAUUUUUUCAUGCUUAUUUGUUAUUAACGACUGAGAAUGUGAAGGUGCAAUUCAAAUAGUUUAUUAUUGUUAUAGGUUUGUGGCAAUAUAUUACAGUUUACGCCUUGGCUUAGAAGUUGAUUACAAGUUUUAUGAGACUGAGUGCCUGUUAUUGGCAAUCUUGAUGUUUUCUUUUUCCCUGUAACAUGUCACAGACAAUUGAUUUAUAUGUAGUCAAUGAUUUUUUAUACUAUAUCAUUUCAAUAAAAAAAUUAAAGAAGAAAGUGUGUAGUAGGGAGUGGAAAGAAGACAAUGAAGGCUGCAUCAGUCAUGGUGGGAUUUGAAAAUGUAUUAAUAAUCUGCAUAUACUCUAUGAAAUCCAUCUGAGAACGUUUUAUGUUCUUUGCAAGAGACAAAACAAGUCAUCAGAGACUUCUUAUAAACACAGGUGGUGCUUAUUAACUGAGAAAUAAACAUUUUACACUCCUGAUGAUUAGCUAGACAAGUUUUCAUGUGCUCCUGCACUUUUGGGAAAUGGUUUUUAUUUUCU